rnacentral:rRNA from 1 species
GAUCCUGGCUCAGGAUGAACGCUGGCGGCGUGCCUAAUACAUGCAAGUAGAACGCUGAAGGAAGGAGCUUGCUCUUUCCGGAUGAGUUGCGAACGGGUGAGUAACGCGUAGGUAACCUGCCUGGUAGCGGGGGAUAACUAUUGGAAACGAUAGCUAAUACCGCAUAACAGUAGAUAUUGCAUGAUAUUUGCUUGAAAGGGGCGAAUUGCUCCACUACCAGAUGGACCUGCGUUG